rnacentral:sRNA from 1 species
CUGUGGCAGGAGUGAGGACAGGACAGAGAUCUUCCCAGGCGGCACCUAUGCACAUAUUAGAGCUGCACUCCCUGCAGGUUCACUGCUUCUUCGUCUGGAACCUUCUCCUCUCAGUAGCAUCUCCUGCUUCCACUGGAGUGACUCCCUCUGUAGGACUCACUGGGUAUCCCCACUUCAGCAAAGGCUUUGUCUGCUGAAGGCUGGGCUGUGGCUUCUGACGUUCUGCUAGCAGCUGCUUUAUGAAUCUUCUCUCAUUUCAUUCUCAUGAUAACCCUACAACUUGUACCAGAUUAGCUAUCGAUAAGAGUCGAUUCAGGCUCUAGAAGGGUGGUGUAUAGGCCGGAAGUUAUACAGCUAAUAAGUGACACCCCUAAAGGCACUGCAGAGGCCUCAGAGAUUAAGCCUAAUUGUCUCUAUGGAGUUAGAAUUUUCUCUAAGAUUCUGUUGGAGAGCCAUCCAAUCAAAUCAAGAGACUUUCCAAAGCAUCUGUAUGGGCUGUUUCCAUGGAGCAGCAGUUUUGUACUGAAGCUUUAAAUCAAAUUCCAACUCAAUUGUGAUCUAAGCUAUUCGGUCGGCAUCCUUCAGGCCUGGGGGUAGCUCAGACACAGGACUGUCUCUCAACUUCUCUUGAUUCUACCAUGUGCCAGCUCAUCUGUCAUCUCCUCAACUGUGUGCUGAGAUUCUGACGUGCUCACUAGGAUUUCCUUUCGGUGAUGAAAAACCACAGUGCCGAAUAUGCACGAGGGAACUGCAGCUUUUCCGGAUGGGCUCUACUGGUGUUGUGCAUAUUCUGCCUAAAACUACGAACCUGUGACUUGACAGUCUCUCCAGCUUUCUAGCACACCCUCUGCUGCCUGACUGAUCCAGGUUGAAUGUCAUGCGGCCAGUGUCAGAGUUACACCUGUAAUCCUAGCACUCAAGGAGCUGAGGCAGAAGGACUACUGUGAGCUCAAGGUCAACCUGGGCUACAAAAGGAUGGCAAUAACCUAUCUACAGAUAAGACCUCGCGGUGUCACCCAGCACACCCUGUUACUGCACACCCUGGCUGAAGCGCCAUCAAGGUAAAACUUCAGAGCUGAUAUUUGGUCUCUGACGCUGAAGCUGCCCUCUGAGAGGCAUAUGGAAAGCCCUAGAAGCACAUGCCUCUGGGUGGUAGGACUAUAGGAUAUUUGGAUUUUUAUGACUUGAUUUGUAAUUGUUUUCAUAUAGAAUAGUCUAUACAGUUGGAGACUUUUUUUUUAAAGAAAUACAACAUACUUAGAUUUCUUCUUCAGUUGUGAUAGGUCACAGAACAAAGAUCCAUUUUCUAAUGCCAGACUUUCUGUACUACCUUUCAGUCCGUCUGAUGUUAGUUGUAACAUAGCCCCAGGCAUGCUAUCUGUGUUUCUACUCUUCAUGGAGGUGGGAACAAAGGGAAGAAAGGGACAUAGCCAUGGUGCAAUUGUUCAAAACCAGGGAGAAACGACCAAGGAGUAACUCAAACAAAUAAGACAAGUCGGAAGUUAGAAAAUAGGUAUGGAAACUUGUAACAGACACCCAAAUGACUAGCAGUUUGUGGUAUCCUAGGCACACUGCCUUCCACCAGCAUCUCGCACUGAUGACAGUCCCACUCAGUCUAGAUGAUCCUACCCAAGGCCAAGAGGGACACUGGUAAGGGAUGAACUCUGGUUCUGCUUCACACUCAACAUUCCUGACUGGGCCCACAAUGAUCAUGAGGUGCAGAUGAUCGAAGCGCUAAAAAUGUAACAAAAAGCUGGUUGCUUCAGUACCUAAAAUGUAAGAGGAAACCAUCCAUUUUAGGUAACACUCUAACAUCAGCAGGGCAGAUAGUCUUGCCAGUAAAGUACUCUGGGGCUCUAGAGCCACCCAGAGCAGCAAGAUAAAGAUUUCUCUAGAAGUAAGAAACUGAGCUAAGCAAAUGCCAGUAAUUAUAAUGUAAGUAUAAAGCAACGGAAAGGCAACACACUCCUCAUUCUUUAAGUUUAUGCUCUGAAGAACUCCUUAUCCAAACCUAGCAGCAAGCUAUCUUUGUAUCAUGACCAUAAAAAGCUCCCAGGCCACUAAACCUUUAACGCUUGCAACUGCCAGUGGAGUUUUAAAAUCAAGGGGUGGUAUGCAGCCAAUCUGAGCUGAAACUCAGGCCGAUAAACCCCUAACAAGCUCCCUCAGGAGUAAGGUGGCAGAGGGGACAUCAACAUACUAUGUUGAGGGAAUCUUCCCCCACAAAAAGGGAAACAAAAUUCCCAUCUUAAGAACAAGUUUUACAUUUUAAACACCACAGACAACAUUUUCCAAAACAUUUGUUAUUCUGCACUUACAGGGAAGCAGAGCAGUGUCUCCAGAGUUUGAGAGUUCUUGUUUGCCUACUCCACAUGGAGUGUUCUAACACUGGCCACACUGCCCUAACCCUUUUCUCUCGUAGCUAUUUACCUUACUUACUUCAUCUCCUGUGCUUAGCAGUGAUUAGCAGGAGCAGUGCAAUGUGAAUGGAUGUGUGGAAGGAUGACUUCUGCCUGGAACUGGGCAUGAGACUCAGAGGGCUCUGUAGCCUAUGGGGAAAUAGUGUCAAAACACAUGCCUUUCUUAGGCCAGGAGCCCAGAAGACACUACCUGUCCUUUUGCCCAAUAGGUGUAGAAGCCAACAUGUAUGUUAAGGAAUGCCCUCUUUCAAAACACGCAUACUCCAAGAAACUGAUUCUACAAAUGCAGAAGCACCAAGCAGGUGUUAACACUGUUGUCAUUUAGGACAACUACAUUUUAAACAGACUCUACAUUGAUAAUUAAGAAACAUUUAGAAAGUACUUGGGUUUAAGAAUCCAGCUGUCUCUAUCUCUGGCUGGACUAAAAUUUCUAACAGACUGUUCUGAUCCACCAUCUUAUAAUCAUGAACUCUGAGCAGGGGUGGCUACAAAGAACUUUCCAUCUAAAGAUUCUGUCAUGAGGACAACCUGCAUGGGUCUCAAAUAUGACUAUAGUAUCAGUUCUAGAACAAAUCAAAUACCAUUUAAAAAUAAUUAACACAAAUAACACAUUUGUUCCAGCUUUAAAGUCUUGGAAAACGCUUGAGAAUAAGCAUGUGCAAACUAGCACUAACACAAACUGUGACCAAUAAUUA